UUGGUGCUUGAUAUAACACUUAAAAGAUAUGAAAAACAUGAUUCAAGUAACAAUAUUCCAUAAAGUUUAGUCUACCUAUUCGUAUUUUCAAUUUCAAAAUUUUGAAUGGUAACAAAAUAGAAAACAAAAAUCUUUAUAUGACAAAGAAUCUGUGUUUUCUUUAUUCGGCUGGAAAGCGAAAAUUUGUGUUAUUCAGAAAAUGUAAUAUAACGUAGUUUGGGUGAGCUUUCCAUCUCGACAUUGUGGUGUGUUUGUCACCCGUUAAUUGGACACAAACACCUUCCUUUCCACCGCUUUCAAUAAAAAAAACCACCCGGUAGGAAUAUUAUAUUUUGAUUAUUAGUUACACUAUUUAUCGCGCCUAAAAGUGUAGUGUAUACUAGUCUGGGAGCCGUUUUUCUUGUGGCGAUUUUUUAAAUGAAUUAUCUACGUCAAUAUUGAACCCACGGGGGGCGCCUCACCCCUGCCUUCCCCAUGGACAGUCCAGCAAUGUCUGCUUCCACUCCCCCCUGUGUUUCCAGACCCAGAGAGUGAAGCAAAGCCAGAAUCAACCACCACACUAGAUAAAUAGCCAUUACUGUGACGAUGGAAUGCUGUCAGCGAGGAGCAUGGAAGACGCAGAGAGAGUGGUGGUCAGGUGGUGGUGGAGACAGGGAGAGUAUGUGGCCUGGAGAUUAACAAACAGAACACCAAUAAUCUUGUGACCUCCAUGCAUCCUUCCUAAUGUCAAUAAAGUUGUCUUAUCAUGCCCAAAA